GAUGAACGCUGGCGGCGUGCCUAAUACAUGCAAGUCGAGCGAACAGACGAGGAGCUUGCUCCUCUGACGUUAGCGGCGGACGGGUGAGUAACACGUGGAUAACCUACCUAUAAGACUGGGAUAACUUCGGGAAACCGGAGCUAAUACCGGAUAAUAUAUUGAACCGCAUGGUUCAAUAGUGAAAGACGGUUUUGCUGUCACUUGUAGGUGGAUCCGCGCCGCAUUAGCUAGUUGGUAAGGUAACGGCUUACCAAGGCAACGAUGCGUAGCCGACCUGAGAGGGUGAUCGGCCACACUGGAACUGAGACACGGUCCAGACUCCUACGGGAGGCAGCAGUAGGGAAUCUUCCGCAAAGGGCGAAAGCCUGACGGAGCAACGCCGCGUGAGUGAUGAAGGUCUUCGGAUCGUAAAACUCUGUUAUUAGGGAAGAACAAAUGUGUAAGUAACUAUGCACGUCUUGACGGUACCUAAUCAGAAAGCCACGGCUAACUACGUG
rnacentral:rRNA from 1 species